rnacentral:misc_RNA from 1 species
GGCGAGACGCUUUCAUGAUCGCAAGCGAACAUUCGGCCGGUGCGGCCGAAACCGACGGCAACUUCAUCGGCGAUGAGCAGCACGGAGUAUUUUGUGCAAAGCUCGCGCACUCCGCGCAAGUAUCCGGGCGGAUGCGUAAUCAUCCCGGCGGCGCAUUGGAUCAGCG